CGCGGCCCGGCCGCGCUUCCGCCCGUGUCAGCUGACUGCCGCGAGGAAGCGGCGGCGCGAGCCCCGGCCCAGCCCCGAGUCGCUGCCGCCUGCGGAGUACCGUCCCGGCCCCCUCCACCAUGGCAGGGCUGGUGGUGAGCGGAGCCCAAGUGUCCUACAUUAGUCAAGACUGUGAAGAAAUUCCUGAAUUCCUGGGAAGAAAAUAUGGACAUAUGGCAAAAAGACUAGAUCUUAGCUUCAACUUGUUAAGGUCACUGGAAGGACUGAAAACAUUCAGUUACUUGGAAGAGCUGAUCUUGGACAACAAUCUACUCGGAAAUGACCUUCUGCUACCCAGGUUACCCCACCUCCACACCUUAACACUCAACAAGAACCAAAUAACAGAAUUAGAAAGCCUUUUGGAUCAUUUGGCUGAAGUUGUGCCCUCGCUACAGUAUCUCAGUUUGCUUGGAAAUGUGGCCUGCCCAAAUGAACUGGUCUGCAAAGAAAAGGAUGAAGAUGACUACCAGAGGUACAGGUUAGUGUCUUCAAUUGUAAAUAUAAGGUAUUUUGUUCUGCAUAAAUUGAAAAACCUGAAAUUUCUCGAUACUCGGCAAGUAACGAGGAAAGAGAGAGAGGAAGCUCUGGUUAGAGGUGCCUUCAUGAAAGUGGUUAAACCCAAGGAUGCUAAGUUUUAGUGGUGAGGUCUGGAAAAUGAGAGUUCUUCUUUAAAGAAGUUUUCCUGGAAUCAUGAAUGAAAUUGUUCUCCUGAUAGGUGUAUGGGAUGCCUUCUAAAGCAGGCAGAGCACAUGACACUUUUCAACACUCUUUUCGAUACUGAUUUGGCAUUCAGGGUCUAUCAAAGGAGAAAUCUUUCACAUGCAAUUAUGACAGAAAAUAAAGGUGAUGAAGUGUUGUAUACAAAGAAUGGAGAGAGAUCAAAGGACUGUAAUGAAAACUGAUUACAAUAAAAGAGCUGCUUCAACCCUGAGAACUCUUCAGAACUGCUUGGGGCAUGACAACACGCACACUUGCAUGCACAAAGGAGAAGUUGCAGAUAAAAUCACAGGCACUAAUUCAUAGGAAUAAAUGAAGAAAGCAAUACAUGGCUACUUGCUUGAAUGUUUUAUAACAUAUUAAGAGACUAAAAUGACAUGAAGACACUGGUCUAAUUUGGAAAAUUCCAAUUUCAUACUUUUGUAAAGGCUUCUUUAUUGAAGUAUGGACAUAAUGUGAAAGUUUUUUAAAUUUAUAACUUCUGAUAAGAUUGCUCAUAGGAUAGAGGAAUGUUUUCAAUUCUUCUAUUGUUUUCUUGAUUAAUCUCCUGGAGGUCACACACAGAAUAAGUCACUUAUCUAAGUUUAAAUAUUAGCAAGGAGACUGUUCAGUACUGUUAGUUGCAUAGUGCUGGAGAAAUUAAUCAAGUUUAACCCUCUAUCCUUUUGAUUCCUGUUCUGGUUUAGACUACUCAAAUGAAUUUUCAUUGACUUCGAAGUGUGUUUCCUGAAUUCCUAAAUUGAGUACUGCAGCCAUUCAUUGGGCAGUUUCAGCCGGCAAUUUUAUAUCUUCUCAAGCUUAGGGCUGUAGUUUAUGCUAAGCUCCUUUCACAUGGUUCAAAGUUUUGUACAAUUGAGGAGUUCUUUUUUUAAUAUAUGUAUUCUUUAAUAAUUUGCCAAUACAUUUAUAUUGAAACAACUAUCAUUUUGCACAAGGUAAGGAAUUGACACUCUUUACAACUGUGUGGUAGAAUUAUGCUCUGCCAAGAUUUCUCAUAAAUCAUGAGCUUAGCUUCAAAGCCAGAAGGAAGAAGCAUUUUCUGAAGAUUCUGCGGAGCUUACUUUUUUUUCCCCAAUAAUAUUAUAUUCUGAAUGAGUAAUUUUAUUUUCAGCUUCAAACCAGAAAGUUUUACCUGAAGCAACACUGACUCAAAACACUUAGUUUUGCUAAAUGAUUUAGCUCCUUGUUUUGUGUGAAACAAAUACACUUCAGUAUUUGAAAACUCAACUACAAAACUAGAAACACUGAUUAAAUUUUAACUGAAGCCAGAAAAGCAACUUCCCACUCCUAAUAUCUUCAAGAGGUCUGUCUUAUCUUCUCAGAAUUAUAUUAAUUAAUUAAAGGGAAACAUAACUCCCAUUUUUAAGAAAUGGAGAAGAACCUGGGCAAUUACAGCCCUCAGAGCCUCACUUCUGUUUGGAGAACAUGGAGCAGAUUCUCCUGGAAGUUAUCCUAAAGCACAUGCGAGACAAGGAGGUGAUCUGAGACAGCCAGCAUGGCUUCACCAAGGGCAAGUCAUGCCUCAGCAAUCUGGUGGCCUUCUAUUAUGGGGUGAUGAUAUUGAUGGACAAAGGAAAUGCAACUGAUGUUGUAUACCCACACUUGUUCAAGGCCUAUGACACAGUCCUGCAGCACAUCCUUAUCUCUAAAUUGGAGAGAGACAGAUUUGAAAGGUGGACUAUUUGGUAGAUAAAGGGGGAUUGAUACUCUUUAACAUCUCUAUCAAUGACAUAGACAAGUACAAGGUGUUGCAUUUGGGUUGGGGCAAUCUUAGACGUGAGUACAGACGGGGAGAAAGACUGAAGGAGAGCAGCCCUGCAGAGAAGGGAAUUCUCGUGAUUGAAAAUCUUAACAUGAACCAACAUUGUGUGCCUGCAGCCCAGAAGACCAGCUGUAUACUGAGCUUCUUCAAAGGAGGGUGGCCAGCUGGAACAGGAAGAUGAUCAUCCCUGUCUACUUUUCACUUGUAAGGCCCCAUCUGGAGUACUGUGUCCACCCUGGCACAAGAAAGAUGUGCAACUGUUGUAGUAGGUCCAGAGGAAGCCAUGAAGAUGAUCAGAGGGCUGGAGCACCUCUCUUGUGAAGAAAGGCUGAGGGAGCUGGGCUUGUUCAGCUUGGAGAAGUCUCUGGUGAGACCUCAUGCAGCCUUCCAGUAUUUGAAAGGAGCUUAUAAACAGGAAGGAGACCAACUUUUUGCAUGGGCAGGUAGUGACAGGACAGGGGGAGAUGUUUUAAAACUAAAAGAGGGAGAUUUAGGUUAGAUGUUAGAUGGAAAUUCUUUUAUCAGAGGUUGGUGAGACACUGGAACAGGUUGCCCAGAGAAGUUGUGGAUGCUCCAUUCCUGGAGAUGUUCAAGGACAAGUUGGGUGGGGCCCUGGGCAGCCUGAUCUGGUGUUUGGCAGUCCUGCCCAUGGUAGGGGGUUUAGAGCUUGAUCUUUAAGGUCUCUUCAACCCAAGCUGUUCUAUGAUUUAACUCCAAUUGUACUACGAUUUGUUGCUUUCACUCUAAAGCACCGAUUCUUUCUUUGUAUCACUGUUAAAAUUAGGAAAACCUCUCUAGAGAGGUCAGUGCUCAGGUUACCACUGGUAGUAAGAGUGUCUUUAAAAGUGAUGGCAAGAAAAAAAAGAUGACUUUAUCUAUAUUGUCUGCUUGCCUAACUUUCCCUAAGGAUGAUUAUGCCACUGUAUACUAUCAGCCCAUAUAUCAGUGGCUAUAGAGAAUGUCUAGGUCUUUAGCAUUAGGCAUUUUAUGUUCAUAUGUUGAAGGGUUGGACUUGAUGUUCUCAAGAGGUUCCUUCCUACUUCUACAAUUCUGUGAUUCUGUUUUUCACUCUGCUUUCAAUACCAUUUAGACUCAUGUUCUUAACUUCAAAUAAGGAAAACACACAAUUAGGUAAUGGCCUGGGCUGAGUGAGAAGAGUUUUAAGGCAUUUGAUUUGAUGCAAUGACCACUCUUUUAAAGACAGUUAUUUAAAAUCACUGAAACCAUAGCAACAACUUGUGUUCUAGAGAAAAAGGGCACAGCAGGCCAGCAUUAGCUUAAUUUUUGUUGCCCUUUUCAUGACCAUGAUAUUAAUAUUUUAGACGGAGUGUCAUUUGCUUAUUGAGCGAUUUACAGUACCGACUGUCACAAAGUGGAGCUAGUAGAGAUUUAAACAAAUUUACCUCUGCGAGAUUAACUAGUUGAGCUUUGACUUAACCUUCUGAGAAUCAACUUCUUUUGUAUCUCAUUAGCACUUUUUUAUUUGUAUAACCUUUAUCUGCAAAUGUAGGUGUUACAGAGCUUUCAGGAUGAAAUGAAUUGGAACAGAUUUCAAAGUGUUGAAUGCUGUUAGAAAACAGUGUAAAGCAUGUAAACAAAAGUACACUGGAAUAACCUGGGUUGUAUGUAUAUUUCUCUGUUUAUGCUGCAUAAAUUAUUCCUGAAAUUGUCCAGUACUGUUGAUCUGAAGGAGUCCUUUUAUCACCUGUAUGUGCAAUGAAAGCUUUGGAAACUGAUCAAUAUAAUUCACAAGGUGUGUAGAUCUUGCAGUUAGGAAUCUGCUUCUACAGCUUAAAACACUUGAGCUUACAUUGCUAGCAAAAGUGGGCACUCAAAGUACUGAGUCUUUCCUCUAUCUUUAAAAUAUGUAUUUUUAAGUUAUGAAAAAAGAAUGCUAAGUACUAUCUAAGGUUCUUCUUGAAAAGGGAAUCUAUUGAUGUUUUUUAUAACUAUAUGUAUUGAAUCAAGACAGAAAAAAAAUUGAAAACUAGUUAUGGUGUUUGACCAUCUUGAAUGUUCCUGACAAGUUAUAGGACUUGAACUAAAAUAUAAUUUCCAUAAUAAUUAAAAUAGAGCAAUAAUUAAUUAUCGGAUCUCCGUCCACUGAAAAAAUAUCUCUUUGAAUUUCUUAUAUUAUGUAGUGCUCAUUUCAAAAUUAGUGAGUUGUCCGCUCAAGUGUCAAAAUAAGCCUGUACAGAUAUAUUCCAAAAUGAACAGCUUACAACUUAAUAUACAUUGUUCAAUCUUUAUAUAUAUUGUUCAGCAGCUUCAAAAAUCUCUUUAUGUGCAAAAUAAAAUGUGCUCAGAAAGUAGUGUAAUUAUAACAUGAAUGUUAUGUAUUAAGUUUCUUUUAUAUUAGUGACUUGAGAAUAAUAAUAUAGACAGAUUAUUUUAAAAAGGUGAUUUGUAAAAUUAGUGUUAAUGAUUUUUGACAGUGGGUGAAAGAUGAAGUGAUUCUGAGCCUAUUUUAACAGCAAGAUUCUCCUGUGAAGUUUAGAGCUGCUAAAGCAUGUUUUAAAUUAUGAGGGAUGCUCUGAAAGUAAUGCCUCCUAUUUUAUUAUAUUAGCCCACCACAUCAGAGGCAGAUGUUGAUU